GAAAUUGUUUAUAAAAUUUUCUAAUUAUUAUUACCACUGAAUAUACCUGUAUAUUGCUACAAUAUACAGGUGUGGUAUACGUUUUUUUUUUGGUGGGUUUGAAUAUUCUUUUCUUUUUUUUUGGGCGCGUUCGCCGUCCGUCUGUUUUUGCUUUCAUCAUCAUCAUAAUAAUCAUCUUGUGUAGAAUUUUGGAAUUGAAAUAGAUUGUCAUCAUUAUCACUUGUCAUCGUCUUGCUAAUCGAAUCAUCACACCAACAACAACAACAACAACAAAGAUUGUCUCGAAUAAUAGAUGUACAUACAAUAAAUUAGUGAAAAUUUGUCACAAUUUUUUGGAUCAAUCGAAUGAAUGAAUCUUUAAAAUCGACUGAUUACAAGAAAAACAACCACGUAAUCAUUGUUCAAAUCCAAACCAAAAACAACCCAAAAAAAA